rfam:Triticum aestivum genome assembly, contig: Triticum_aestivum_CS42_TGACv1_scaffold_320852_4BL
UUUGUACUCCCUCCGUCCCAAAAUUCUUUUCUUAAAUUUUUCUAAAUACAGAUGUAUCUAGUUACAUUUUAGUGUUAGAUACAUCCGUAUCUAAACAAAUGUAAGACAAGAAUUUUGGGAUGGAGGGAAUACUAC